UGCCGUUCGGGUGGCGGCUCGCGCCGCUGCUGGCGGCCCUGCACGAGCACCUCCCCGGGAUCGGGCCGGUCGCCCUGGUCAACGACGGC
rnacentral:tRNA from 1 species